UACGUAGGGGGCUAGCGUUGUCCGGAAUCAUUGGGCGUAAAGAGCGUGUAGGCGGCUCGGUAAGUCUGCUGUGAAAGUCCAGGGCUCAACCCUGGGAUGCCGGUGGAUACUGUCGAGCUCGAGUCCGGAAGAGGCGAGUGGAAUUCCUGGUGUAGCGGUGAAAUGCGCAGAUAUCAGGAGGAACACCAAUGGCGAAGGCAGCUCGCUGGGACGUGACUGACGCUGAGACGCGAAAGCGUGGGGAGCGAACAGG
rnacentral:rRNA from 1 species